rnacentral:SRP_RNA from 2 species
GCCAGGUGUGGUGGCGCACACCUGUAAUCCCAGCUAUUUGGGAGGCUGAGGUGGGAGGAUUGCUUGAGCCUGGGAGGUGGAGGUUGCAGUGAGCCGAGAUCAGGCCACUGCACUCCAGCCUGGGCGACAGAGCAAAACUCCAUCUCAA